rnacentral:rRNA from 1 species
CGCGUAGGCGGCUUGGUAAGUAGGGGGUGAAAUCUCACGGCUCAACUGUGAGGCUGCCUUCUAGACUGCCGGGCUUGAGCACAGUAGAGGCUGGUGGAAUUCCCGGUGUAGCGGUGGAAUGCGUAGAGAUCGGGAAGAACAUCUGUGGCGAAGGCGGCCAGCUGGGCUGUUGCUGACGCUGAUGCGCGACAGCGUGGGGAGCAAACA